UUCUCCUCCAGACCUUCCAGGGAUUUUUGACUACGUGAGCUACUGCAUUACAGGAAAACCCUCGGAACUAUGCCUGGCACACAGCAAGUAUUUGAUGAACGUCAGAUAGUAAUGGAUUAGACUACUGUUUCUCCAACAAGAAUUUGAGUUCCUCUGCCCAGCUCAUGUCGGUAUUCCCAAAACCUGGGAACCUAAUGCAGCGCUCUGCAUCUUGGGCACCAGAGAGAGACCAAAUGUCCCAUGAGCCAGUCCACAUUGCCUAGGCCUCUGAUCCCAAGGAGAACGCAACCCCUUCACCUCUGGGAAGAAAGAUGGCAAGCCCCAUCAGGGAGGGAUCAAGCGUACCACAUUCAGUGUGCUCCCCAGUGCCUCCUACAAUGCCUGGACCAAACUACUGCUCAUCAAAUAAUUUUUUGGUAAAAGAAUGAAUGGUC
rnacentral:lncRNA from 1 species